CCGAUUGACGAAAGGGGAGGGGUCAAACCUUUCCCGGAAAUCUCACGAUUUUCAAAACCCCCCAAUUCGUGCACCGGUGGAGGUGGGGGAGGGCAAACGCUUCUCCCCCCUUCUCUGCCUUUUAAAACCCGAGCGCCUUUGUUUAUUGUAUCAACGCGUGUGUCGAUAAGAAUUUGGCAUAUAAUA
rnacentral:misc_RNA from 1 species